AUCUCCUUUGUAGUGAUAAAUGUUGCAAAAGUAAAGACUUUCUGUUAAAGCGUUUGGAACGCUGCGCUUGGAGCGCUAGAGUAGUGCGCUUGGAGCGCUAGUUUUUAGUAACGUCUGGGACGUUAGAGAAGUAUUUGGAACAUUAGAAAAGCGUUUGGAACGCUGCGCUUGGAGCGCUAGAGUAGUGCGCUUGGAGCGCUAGUUGUUAGUAACGUCUGGGACGUUAGAGUUUAGUAAAAAUAGCGCUUGGAGCGCCUGAGUCAGUGCGCUUGGGGCGCUAGUGA